AUGAAGAACAUGAAAGACGCAAAGACCAAGGUUUUGUCCUCAACUACGAGGGGAGGUAAGGAACUGCCAUCUAGCUUUGCACUAGAUUCUCCUUCCGUUAUUAGUAGGCUUGUGACACCUAAACCUGCUACUGCUAUGAAUUCUGAUAUGUCGCAUGUUAUUGAUGAUGCCACUUCUGCUAUGCAUGAUGAAACUACUUCUGUGCGUGAUACUACUUUGCCAUUAGGUGAAUUUCUUGAUGAACAACUUGCUAGAGUUAGGGGGAAUGAAAAUAUUAAAGAACCUAUUAUUGAUGAUAGUGAUGAUGAACCUUUCCCCAAUGAUUAUGUAUUACCUGUUGUUCGUAAGGGUUAUGUUAUGAACAAAGAAGCUGCUGAAGCUAUUCUUGCUUGCAAUGAUAGAAAUGAUCUUAAGAAAUUAUUAACUAAAUGGAAGCAGCAGUCUCUUAAUGCUAGAAUGAAA
rnacentral:rRNA from 1 species